UCUGGGAUAGCUCAGUCGGUAGAGCGCUUGACUCUGACAUCGGAGGGUUUUGUGGGUUCGAGCCCCAGGUUCAGUAA